AUUGAACGCUGGCGGAAUGCUUUACACAUGCAAGUCGAACGGUAGAGGGGGCAACCCCUCGAGAGUGGCGAACGGGUGAGUAAUAUAUCUGAACGUGCCCAGUCGUGGGGGAUAACGUAGCGAAAGUUAAGCUAAUACCGCAUACGAUCUAAGGAUGAAAGCGGGGGAUAGCAAGACCUCGCGUGAUUGGAGCGGCCGAUAUCAGAUUAGGUAGUUGGUGGGGUAAAGGCUCACCAAGCCAACGAUCUGUAGCUGGUCUGAGAGGACGACCAGCCACACUGGAACUGAGACACGGUCCAGACUCCUACGGGAGGCAGCAGUGGGGAAUUUUGGACAAUGGACGCAAGUCUGAUCCAGCCAUUCCGCGUGCAGGAUGAAGGCCCUCGGGUUGUAAACUGCUUUUGUACGGAACGAAAAGGUCUCUCUUAAUACGGGGGGCUCAUGACGGUACCGUAAGAAUAAGCACCGGCUAACUACGUGCCAGCCGCCGCCGUAA
rnacentral:rRNA from 1 species